rnacentral:lncRNA from 1 species
ACCGAGCCCACCUGUGCCUUAUUCUCUCUUCUUCUCCAGCGGCAGCUGCUGGGAUCUUUGCAUUAGCAUUUUGUCCUGAGCUACCCUACCGUGACUGCAGACAAUACCACAGUGUGACCUCGGAGCAAUGGCAGGUACUUGAUAUCAUCUCAAGCACAGCAACCUUCA